rnacentral:rRNA from 1 species
UGCAAGUCGAGCGGUAGCUCCUAUGAGUUAAAAGCUUAUAGGAGUGAGAGCGGCGCACGGUGAGUAACACGUAGGUAACCUACCCCAGAGAGGGGGAUAACACCUCGAAAGGGGUGCUAACCCCCAUAUACUUACCGAGCGUAAUAGCUCAGGUAAGGAAAGAGUAUAAGGAGGCACUCCUUAUGCUGCUCUGGGAUGGGCCUGCGGCCUAUCAGCUAGUUGGUGGGGUAACGGCCACCAAGGCUAAGACGGGUAGCCGGCCUGAGAGGGUGGUCGGCCACACUGGGACUGAGAACGGCCCAGACUCCUACGGGAGGCAACAGCCGGGAAUCUUCCGCAAUGGGGGAAACCCUACGGAGCGACGCCGCGUGAGGGAAGAAGCCCUUCGGGGUGUAAACCUCUUUUCUCGGGGAGAAAGCUGACGGUACCCGAGGAAAAAGCCCCGGCUAACUACGUGCCAGCAGCCGCGGUAGACGUAGGGGGCGAGCGUUGUCCGGAUUUACUGGGCGUAAAGGGCGUGUAGGCGGCUUGCAAGUCAGAUGUGGAAGCCCUGAGCUCAACUCAGGGAGGUCAUCUGAUACUGCUAAGCAGAGGGCAGGAGAGGAGGGCGGAACUUCCGGUGUAGCGGUGAAAUGCGUAGAUAUCGGGGGAACACCGAAGG